GACGAACGCUGGCGGCGUGCUUAACACAUGCAAGUCGAACGGAAAGGCCCUGCUUUUGUGGGGUGCUCGAGUGGCGAACGGGUGAGUAACACGUGAGUAACCUGCCCUUGUCUUUGGGAUAACUUCAGGAAACUGGGGCUAAUACCGGAUAGGAGCUCCUGCUGCACGGUGGGGGUUGGAAAGUUUCGGCGGUUGGGGAUGGACUCGCGGCUUAUCAGCUUGUUGGUGGGGUAGUGGCUUACCAAGGCUUUGACGGGUAGCCGGCCUGAGAGGGUGACCGGCGACAUGGGGCCUGAGGUACGGCGCAGACUCCUACGGGAGGCAGCAGUGGGGAAUAUUGCGCAAUGGGCGCAAGCGUGAUGCAGCAACGCCGCGUGCGGGAUGACGGCUUUCGGGUUGUAAACCGCUUUCUCCUGUGACGAAGCGUGAGUGACGGUAAUGGGUAAGGAAGCACCGGCUAACUACGUG
rnacentral:rRNA from 1 species